AGCUGCCAUUGGUACAGAUCUUGGUGGUAGUAGCAAAUAAUCGAAUGAGAUCUUGGAGGACUGAAGUGGAGAAGGGUUUCGUGUGAACAGUGGUUGAUCACGAGUUAGUCGGUCCUAAGUGUAAGGCGAAAGCCGGAAAAAUUUAAAGUUUUACCCCAUUGGGUAAUAUAAAAUACUUUAGAUUAAAUUACACGAAAGGGAAUACGGUUCCAAUUCCGUAACCUGUUGAGUAUACGUUUGUAAUAAAUAUGGUCUUAUGAUCAUCCUGGUAACAGAAACAAUCAUAGAGAAGCCGUCGAGAGGUAUUGGAAGAGUUUUCUUUUCUGUUUUAUAGUUGUACUACCAUGGAAGUCUUUCGAAGAGAGAUAUGGUAGAUGAACUAGAAGAGCAUGGCAUUUACUGCUGUGUCAAUAUUUUCUCCUCGGACCUUGAAAAUCUAUGAUUGGGCUACGCAAACUUCUCAACAGGCCGUACCGAUAUCCGCAGCUGGUCUCCAAGGUGAAGAGUCUCUAGUCGAUAGAAUAA
rnacentral:rRNA from 1 species